AUCCUGGCUCAGGAUGAACGCUGGCGGCGUGCUUAACACAUGCAAGUCGAACGAUUAAACCGCCCUCGGGCGGACAUAGAGUGGCGAACGGGUGAGUAACACGUGACCAACCUGCCCCGCGCUCCGGGACAACCGCUGGAAACGGCGGCUAAUACCGGAUACUCCGGGAGGGCCCCAUGGCCCUGCCGGGAAAGCCGAGACGGCGCGGGAUGGGGUCGCGGCCCAUUAGGUAGACGGCGGGGUAACGGCCCACCGUGCCCGCGAUGGGUAGCCGGACUGAGAGGUCGACCGGCCACAUUGGGACUGAGAUACGGCCCAGACUCCUACGGGAGGCAGCAGUGGGGAAUUUUGCGCAAUGGGGGAAACCCUGACGCAGCAACGCCGCGUGCGGGACGAAGGCCCUCGGGUUGUAAACCGCUUUCAGCAGGGAAGAUCCAAGACGGUACCUGCAGAAGAAGCUCCGGCUAACUACGUGCCAGCAGCCGCGGUAAUACGUAGGGGGCGAGCGUUAUCCGGAUUCAUUGGGCGUAAAGCGCGCGUAGGCGGCCGCCUAAGCGGGACCUCUAACCCCGGGGCUCAACCCCGGGCCGGGUCCCGGACUGGGCGGCUCGAGUGCGGUAGAGGAGAGCGGAAUUCCCGGUGUAGCGGUGGAAUGCGCAGAUAUCGGGAAGAACCCCGAUGGCGAAGGCAGCUCUCUGGGCCGUCACUGACGCUGAGGCGCGAAAGCUGGGGGAGCGAACAGGAUUAGAUACCCUGGUAGUCCCAGCCGUAAACGAUGGGCGCUAAGGUGUGGGGGGACGAUCCCUCCGUGCCGCAGCCAACGCAUUUAGCGCCCCGCCUGGGGAGUGCGGCCGCAAGGCUAAAACUCAAAGGAAUUGACGGGGGCCCGCACAAGCAGCGGAGCAUGUGGCUUAAUUCGAAGCAACGCGAAGAACCUUACCAGGGCUUGACAUGCCGAUGAAGCCGGGGAGACCCGGUGGCCGAGAGGAGUCGGCGCAGGUGGUGCAUGGCUGUCGUCAGCUCGUGUCGUGAGAUGUUGGGUUAAGUCCCGCAACGAGCGCAACCCCCGCCCCGUGUUGCCAGCAUUCAGUUGGGGACUCGCGGGGGACUGCCGGCGUCAAGCCGGAGGAAGGUGGGGACGACGUCAAGUCAUCAUGCCCCUUAUGCCCUGGGCUGCACACGUGCUACAAUGGCCGGUACAGAGGGUUGCCACCCCGCGAGGGGGAGCGGAUCCCGGAAAGCCGGUCCCAGUUCGGAUCGCAGGCUGCAACCCGCCUGCGUGAAGCCGGAGUUGCUAGUAAUCGCGGAUCAGCACGCCGCGGUGAAUACGUUCCCGGGCCUUGUACUCACCGCCCGUCA
rnacentral:rRNA from 1 species